rnacentral:ribozyme from 13 species
ACAGCAAGCUGCAAAUGCACCGCCAAAUGAGAAGAAGUUACUCAAUAUCUAAAUCCAAUCAAAUGCUCUCUCUCAUGCACACAAAGUUUAUUUUACCACUCUUCAUGAUCUACCUUUAUCUUUUUUUACUUUUUUUUGUCUAUUCAUCGUUUUGUCAUAUGUCAACAAGCAAGAA